rnacentral:rRNA from 1 species
AUACGGAGGAUGCGAGCGUUAUCCGGAUUUAUUGGGUUUAAAGGGAGCGUAGGUGGGAUAUUAAGUCAGCUGUGAAAGUUUGGGGCUCAACCUUAAAAUUGCAGUUGAUACUGGUUUCCUUGAGUACGGUACAGGUGGGCGGAAUUCGUGGUGUAGCGGUGAAAGGCUUAGAUAUCACGAAGAACUCCGAUCGCGAAGGCAGCUCACCGGGCCGGAACUGACACUGAUGCUCGAAAGUGCGGGUAUCAAACAGGAUUAGAUACCCUGGUAGUCCGCACAGUAAACGAUGAAUACUCGCUUUUUGCGAUACGCGGUCAGCGGCCAAGCGAAAGCGUUAAGUAUUCCACCUGGGGAGUACGCCGGCAACGGUGAAACUCAAAUGAAUUGACGGGG